GACGAACGCUGGCGGCGUGCUUAACACAUGCAAGUCGAACGCUGAAGCUCAGCUUUUGUUGGGUGGAUGAGUGGCGAACGGGUGAGUAACACGUGAGUAACCUGCCCCCUUCUUUGGGGUAACGCCCGGAAACGGGUGCUAAUACUGGAUAUUCACUGGUCUUCGCCUGGGGGUUGGUGGAAAGGGUUUUUCUGGUGGGGGAUGGGCUCGCGGCCUAUCAGCUUGUUGGUGGGGUGAUGGCCUACCAAGGCUUUGACGGGUGGCCGGCCUGAGAGGGUGACCGGUCACAUUGGGACUGAGAGACGGCCCGGAGUCCUACAGGGGGAGGCAGUGGGGAAUGUGGCACAAGGUGCGCAAGCCUGAUGCAGCGACGCCGCGUGGGGGGUGGAGGCCUUCGGGUUGUGAACCUCUUUCGCUCAUGGUCAAGCCGCGACAAUGGUUGUGGUGAGGGUAGUGGGUAAAGAAGCGCCGGCUAACUACGUG
rnacentral:rRNA from 1 species